rnacentral:misc_RNA from 1 species
UUGACUUUCAUUUCUGUUACAUAUAGGAGGAGGAACAAAAGAAAUAUGGUGGACAAGAUGGAUUGAUGAGCUGGCAGAAGUCUGUGAUAAGGAGAAGAUUGCUGAGUUGUCAAGAUAACGGGUCGAGAUUGCAGAUAAUUGGAGGGAAAUUAGAAAAUAAUUCUGUUAAGAAGGUUAUAGUUGGUUAAAGAUUGGUUAGAG